ACUCAAAUGAAUUGACGGGGGCCCGCACAAGCGGUGGAGCAUGUGGUUUAAUUCGACGCAACGCGAAGAACCUUACCUGGGUUUGAACUUCGAGUGACAGCCCCUGAAAGGGGGUCUUUCUUCGGAACACUCGGAGAGGUGCUGCAUGGCUGUCGUCAGCUCGUGUCGUGAGAUGUUGGGUUAAGUCCCGUAACGAGCGCAACCCUUACCCUUAGUUGCCAGCGGGUCAAGCCGGGAACUCUAAGGGAACCGCCGGUGACAAACCGGAGGAAGGUGGGGAUGACGUCAAGUCCUCAUGGCCUUUAUGCCCAGGGCUACACACGUGCUACAAUGGACGGUACAAAGGGUCGCCAAACCGCAAGGUGGAGCUAAUCCCAAAAAGCCGUUCUCAGUUCGGAUUGGGGGCUGCAACCCGCCCCCAUGAAGGUGGAAUCGCUAGUAAUCGCGGAUCAGCACGCCGCGGUGAAUACGUUCCCGGGCCUUGUACACACCGCCCGU
rnacentral:rRNA from 1 species